rnacentral:ncRNA from 2 species
CGUGCUCACACGGGGUGCCUUCGGGCUGAGAGGCGCAUGCCGACCCGUCGAACCUGAUCCGGCUCAUACCGGCGGAGGGAUGCGGGCGUCGGCGGGU